CUAGGAGUUUCUUUGCCUAAAAACAUGACAUUAUUGCCUUUUACCAUAACGUCCCAUGGGCAAGAAAAAGGACUCCACUAGCUUUAAUCUUUGGAUUUACCCAUUGAGCGUGAU
rnacentral:snRNA from 1 species